GUGGGGAAUCUUGGGCAAUGGGGGAAACCCUGACCCAGCGACGCCGCGUGGAGGAUGAAGGCCCUCGGGUUGUAAACUCCUUUCAGGGGGGACGAAACUUGCGUUUCGGCGCAACUGACGGUACCCCCAGAAGAAGCACCGGCUAACUCCGUGCCAGCAGCCGCGGUAAUACGGAGGGUGCAAGCGUUGUUCGGAAUUACUAGGCGUAAAGUGUGCACAGGCGGCCCUUCAAGUUCAGGGUGAAAUCUCACAGCUUACCUGUGAGUCUGCCCUGAAAACUGGAGGACUUGAGGGCGAGAGAGGAGAGCGGAAUUCCCGGUGUAGCGGUGAAAUGCGUAGAUAUCGGGAAGAACACCAGCGGCGAAGGCGGCUCUCUGGAUCGCACCUGACGCUCAAGCACGAAAGCGUGGGGAGCAAACAGG
rnacentral:rRNA from 1 species